UUGACCUUGGCAAUAUGCUAGGUCUAAAUGUGCAGCGGUGCUAUUUUGGCUCUGAGCAUGGCAAGGGUGAGUCGUAUGGUGAGACAGAGGUCUUAAGCCAAGCUUUAAAAAGAGUUGUCCAUGGAGGAAAAUCUUUUAGGGAUGCAAAGGACAUGGUUAACCACCUGUCUAAACUGGACUCAAACUCUCACAGGCAAUAUGUUCCGGUCAACAACAUCAAGAGAGACAGUAAUGAUACGAACUCUUAGCCUUAUUCUAUCUACAACAGUGUUUCCCAAACUGUGUUCUAGGGAUCCCUAGUGUUCUCGAGGCCUGAAUAGGUGUUCCACAGACUACUGGAAUAAUUAACUAAUUAUGGGGAUGGUAUUUGUCAAUGCCCAGGUGGUGGUAUUUGUCAAUGCCCAGGUGGUGGUAUUUGUCAAUGCCCAGGUGGUGG